rnacentral:misc_RNA from 1 species
AAGUCGUAACAAGGUUUCCGUAGGUGAACCUGCGGAAGGAUCAUUACAACGUAUCCACGUAUAAACAAACGCGAACAUCCCGUUAGAGUGUAAAGCCAGGCAGCUGGUCUGAAGUUAAUCGGUCGAACUGUAUAUCAUGUGCUUCGUCGAUGGAGUGGGUGUUGCAGCAACACUACUGGAGCACUGGUUCUGACCCGGAUAAGCCCUUGUGGUAGAUCCGAGCUUCGUUUACCUCUGACGUGUAUUAACCAUCGGUCAUAUGUACCUUCAUUAACCCUUUAUAACUAAUUGAACUGAGCUUGUAAAGUCUGCGGUUGUCCUUGCUGGCUUCGGUCACGGCAGCUUAACGUAGCCUGUUUUCCUCAUUACGAAACAAAAGAACAACUCUUAGCAACGGAUAUCUUGGUUCUC